GCGCUGACCGAGGCAAGAGCAAGCUCAAUGAGGUUCCCUCAGCAGCAGCAUUUCCCAACUCUGCGUGAAGACACCUGGCUAUCCUGCAAGACUCAGUUCUCUGCCUCUGCACACAGCACGGCUGAAGCGGAUAUGAAGUUAGGGCCAACAGUGUGUCCAAGAUGCAGGCUGUGGAAGAAAUAAACUAUUGUAGGCUCACCCAACAUGAGCCUCACAAGGAAGGAGUCAAAGUAACUAGUUUCAACUUCUGGUGUCUCUUCCUGGCUGACCGACCUCCUCCACAUGUGCUCUGCUCGGGCCACAGCGUGUCUCUGCCACAUGCACCAGGUCUAGUGUCUUUCCCCAUGACCAGGAGUUCGUAGAAAUGGUUAAGUAUAAGCCUGUGUGCUGGGGCUGAGGGUACUAAACCAGCAUGGACAGUUCCGGAUUUCUCUACUAAUGCGUCUGCUCUGAGAGUGACUCACCCCUAACCGGGGCGGGGAGCCAGCUGGCAGGGGGAGGGAGGCCCGCGUGGAGUCCAGAUGGUGCAUGUGCCCUUGGAUUUGGCAGUGGGCAUGUCAUAGUGUGAAGGGUCUCGGAGCAGCAUCAGGGCUGCGCUGAGCUGCAUGGAUGGGGUGGCUGGGAGGCACGUGCCCUGAGGCUGACGAAACUAAGAGUCACCAAACCGUGGACCAGACGCUCUCAGGAAUUACUCUUAAGUCCUGCCAGGAACCCCCGCCUCCUGGGACUGGGACUGGAUCAAACAAGUGGGUCCUAAGAAACCUGAAUAAGUCUCACCCCUCAGACAUAAUCCUGAUACUUUCUCUGGUUAAGUCCUUUGCCAAGGAGCCAUUCAAAAACUGCAGUGACUAAAACAAGAACCUAAAAGGGGAGGCAGCGGGGACUUGACCUCACCACUGCAGGCCUGGAAGGGCAGGCUUUUGCUGCUGUCAGCUCUACCCCAGCCCUGGUCUCAGGAAGAAGGAAGUUUUAUUUCUUCAUGAUUUUAGGCUUUGGAGAGGAAAAGAAAUUGCUUUGCCUUCUCAAUUCUGUACAAAAGCAUGGUUUCUGCUGGCUACACCCUCUCUCUCCAAAUGCCCAUUGAAAGGCUGAUGAGUAGCCCCUGUUCUUGGAGAUCCCAAAGCCCCAGCUUUUCCCCUACCAGCCCUGGGAGAGUGAGUUGUCCCGACAGGUGGGCGAAUCCUGCGCAGUCCCACCGAGGACUUAGUUCACAGGUCACAGAGCGGCCACCACAGUCUCGUGGACCCCUCUUCCUUUCUUACUCUGGUCCAGCCCAGAGUUCUUGAGUUACCCUGACUCUGGGGGUCCCUGGGAGGGUGCAUCGCUCAUGCUGCCAGCACUGAGACCCUGUGCCACCCUCCACAUGGCAGGAGCACAUGGCUCUCUGACAAGCCAGGCCUGUGACUCCUUGGGACCUGCACUCCCAGGUCCCUGUCCGCAGACCUGGGGUGAGCCCCGUAGGUCAGGAGUCGGGGUCCCUAAUGCAUUUGUCCCUCUCUCUCCUGGG